rnacentral:rRNA from 1 species
GGCCUGCGUAAUAUCAGCUAGUUGGUGAGGUAAUGGCUCACCAAGGCUAUGACGUUUAGGGGAGCUGAGAGGCUGACCCCCACCGAUUGAACUGAGACACGGUCAAUACCCCUACGGGGGGCUGCAGGCGAGAAUAUUCGACAAUGGGCGCAAGCCUGAUCGAGCGAUACCGCGUGAUCGAUGAAGUGCUUCGGCACGUAAAGAUCUUUUGUCGGGGAAGAAGUAAUUGACGGUACCCGAAGAAUAAGGGGCUCCUAACUCUGUGCCAGCAGGAGCGGUAAUACAGAGGCCCCAAGCGUUACCCGGAAUCACUGGGCGUAAAGGAUGCGUAGGUGGCUUUGUUAGUCCUUCGUUAAAACCUUCUUGCUCAACAAGAAGAUCGCGAGGGAAACGGCAUGGCUCGAGGAUGUAAGAGGCGCGCGGAACUCAUGGUGUAGGGAUUAAAUCCGUUGAUAUCAUGGGGAACACCAAAAGCGAAGGCAGCGCGCUGGGACAUUCCUGACACUGAGGCAUGAAAGCGUAGGUAGCGAAAAGGAUUAGAUACCCUUGUAGUCUACGCCCUAAACGAUGAUCACUGGCUUUUGGGAGUAUCGACCCUCCCGGAGGCGAAGCUAACGCGUUAAGUGAUCCGCCUGGGUAGUACGGUCGCAAGACUAAAACUCAAAGGAAUAGACGGGGAUUCGCACAAGCGGUGGAUUAUGUGGCUUAAUUCGAUGUCGAACGAAAAACCUUACCAAGGUUAGAAAUCAUACUGCACGCCUCGGGAAACCGAGGAAGCCUUCGAGGGUGUAUGACAGGUGAUGCAUGGUCGUCGUCAGUUCGUGGCUUGAGCUGUUCCCUUAAGUGGGGAAACGAACGCAACCCCUGUUGCCUGUUUAAUUUGUCAGGCGAUACUGCUCCCUCACGGGAGAGGAAGGAAGGGAUGACGCCAGAUCCGCAUGUCCCUCUGAUACCUUGGGCUGCACACAUAAUACAAUGGGCACGACAAAAGGCAGCGACGGAGUAAUCCUGAGCUAAUCCCAAAACGUGUCCUUAAUACGGAUUGAGGUCUGCAACUCGACCUCAUGAAGCCGGAAUCGCUAGUAAUCGUAGGUCAGCAGACUACGGUGAAUACGUUCUCGGGUCUUGUACUCACCGCCCAUCAACUCAAGGGAGCCGGGAAUGCCCGACGUCCGCACUAGCUGCGGCCCACGGUAAAUUCGGUGACAGGGAGUAAGUCGUAACAAGGCACGGCUAGCGGAAGCUGGUCGUG